UACGUAGGUGGCAAGCGUUGUCCGGAUUUAUUGGGUUUAAAGGGUGCGUAGGCGGCCCUGUAAGUCAGUGGUGAAAUAUUUCAGCUCAACUGGAAUUGUGCCAUUGAUACUGCGGGGCUUGAGUACAGAUGAGGUAGGCGGAAUUGACGGUGUAGCGGUGAAAUGCUUAGAUAUCGUCAAGAACACCUAUAGCGAAGGCAGCUUACUAGGCUGUAACUGACGCUGAGGCACGAAAGUGUGGGGAUCAAACAGG
rnacentral:rRNA from 1 species